rnacentral:lncRNA from 1 species
ACAAUAUUUGAUGAUGCUUAAGACAUUUGAACUUGAUAUCUAAUAGCAAGGGUCUUUCGUAUCCCAAGCGGUUAACACGGCUUAGUUAUGAACUCGAAGUCUUGUGUUUGAAGGCAGAGAACAUCUUGAAGACAAGGUGAUAAUGUAGAGAUGUCUGGAUCUAGUAAAAUUAAAACUCAUGGAGGGCUUUUUGACUACUGUCGCUUCUUUUUCUGAGAGAUGGAGGGCCGAACGAUUAGAGUUAGCGUGAGAAAGAAGACGGCAGCAGUGACUAGCCCCCUCCAUCCUCCCAGAUGGCAGUUAUUGCCUCUA